CUUGGGAGCCAACCUGUGACUGUACAUUUGGGAAUUCACUCACUCGCAGUUGUUGGCAGCCCUGGC
rnacentral:precursor_RNA from 1 species